rnacentral:misc_RNA from 1 species
GGAGUAAAAGUCGUAACAAGGCUUCCGUAGGUGAACCUGCGGAAGGAUCAUUAAAAAUGAAGCCGGGAAACCGGUCCUUCUCACCCUUGAUUAUCUCAAAUUGUUGCUUUGGUGGGCCGAGCAAGCACCGGCUUCGGCUGGAUUGUGCCCGCCAGAGGACCACAACUCUGUAUUAUAUGUCGUCUGAGUACUAUAAAAUAGUUAAAACUUUCAACAACGGAUCUCUUGGUUCUG